rnacentral:lncRNA from 1 species
AUGGGAACAGCUCAUAUUCCAGUAGAAAGCAGGAACAGGCAUCAAGGGUUUGUGGGUGCUUUUCACAGGAAAGAAGUGAGGAUGAUCAAAAUGGUAGGACACAAGUCAACUGAAUUUGGCUUUGAUUUCUGGUUUAUGAAAUGCCUCUUUCUUUAUCUUGACUUCCGAUUGCCAUUGUUUACAUGCCUUUGGAAGAACUGAAGAUCAAACACAGAACAGGGGGAGAGAAGCUUUGGAAAUUAGCAAUGUAUAUAGAGACUUGGCAACAGCAUUAAUAGAUGCAAAGGAAAAUUACAAGAAGAAAGAAAAUAACCUAAAUGAAGUCAACUUGCAAUAUGAAUAUCAAAAGAGGACUAGUUUGGAAAUGGAAAUGCAGCACACUUGGAAUUAAUGUGGACCCAUUCUAGGCCUGGCAUGAUUCAUAAAGUGCCAACAGGCUGUACAAUUUGCAUCAGUAUCUAUGUUUCGAUACAAUUUUGUAACCAGGCUAUUUAAAUGAUCUAAUCCUUUUAUGCAUGCGUGUGGGAGCCUGGAGAUGAGAAAGGGUAGGCAAGAGCUGGGUAUCUGCAGGGCACGUCUCACAUGCAACUUGUCAGGGCCAACUCCAGACUGAAAAAGCAACAUCUCUGUUCAAACCCUGGCUUUGUCAUUUUGAUACACACAUUCCGGCUGCAGAUUCUCUGAGCAGACAUUUCUGAAUACAGGCAAUGUAGUCUCCUCCCUUCCUCUCAGGAUGCUUUAAUUCAAAGCACAUAUAUAGUUGUCAGUCCUGCUUUAAGUCAUUGCAAGAUGUAAAGCCUGAUGCUAUAUCACAGAAGACAGAACGUGUGUGUUUGGAAGUUUGCAUCUAUAUAGAUGCAUACAUGUAACAUCGGGAAUCAGAAGCCUGAUUGUUGCUUCACCUCCCUUAAACUUAUGUGGAGUUAACUCUUGAUUUGUACUGAACAGAGGCCAGUUGCUGAAGGCAAAUAUGUUGGAGGCAGUGCCCUCUUUUUGAUCAACAUGGGUAUACAAUGGUUACAAGAAGAAAAUGUUACCACUUUGAAUAAUUGUGCUAUGCAAGCUAGAAGGGGCUCCACACGGUGCUCAUUCUGUCAGUAUUGUAAUGAAAAUGUUGGUACAUAAUAAAUAAAAAUUCAGUAUUCA